ensembl:lncRNA
CUUGCUUUUCACAGAGCAAAAGCCUCAACAGCUGCAAUGCAGACUCAGGGGUUUGUGGCCCUUGUGUCCAUCUCGGCGUCCCUGUUAGUGGUGGGGAUUAUGCUGGAACGACGAAAGGGCAUGAGCCAUUUGUACAAGGAACUAGAAACAGCGGACUUGGUGAGUCUCAACGAUCAACUAUCAAAAUUAGACAUCUAUAAAGUCCAGUUGGAAAAUCUGCUUAGUAAGGGGACUAAAAUAGCAGAAGAUGAGGAGAAGAACGUGGAAGAAGCCGUCGCAGAUGUGGAGAAGAUGAAAACAGAAAUUACCGUCUGUCAAGAAGAAAAGGAAACUAAAGCGGAGGAGCUGGCCGGCAAAGAACAUGAACACACGGAGAUUGAAGCAAAUUUAAAAUCAGAGCAUGACGCCUGGAACCAAGAGAUUGCAAAUCUGAGAGCACAGGCGACGGGCUACCGCCAAAUAUGUGAUUUUGUCAAGGAUGACCCAACGGUUAAGAAAAUGUGUGGCACCAAACAAGAAACCCUGCUCCGAAGAAGAUGA